rnacentral:rRNA from 1 species
UCGCCUGUUUAACAAAAACAUGUCUUUUUGAAAUUUUUUUAAAGUCUAGCCUGCCCACUGAGUAAUUUUAAAUGGCCGCAGUAUACUAACUGUGCAAAGGUAGCAUAAUCAUUAGUCUUUUAAUUGAAGGCUGGUAUGAAUGGUUGGACGAGAUAUUAACUGUUUCAUAGAAAUUUAUAAUAGAAUUUUAUUUUUUAGUCAAAAAGCUAAAAUAUAAUUAAAAGACGAGAAGACCCUAUAAAUCUUUAUAUAUAGAUUAUUAGAAUUUCAUAGAUUUUUUUUGUUAUAAUAAUUAAUUGUAUUUUAUUGGGGUGAUAUUAAAAUUUAAUAAACUUUUAAUUUUAAAAAUCAUUAAUUUAUGAGUAAUUGAUCCGUUAUUAACGAUUAAAAAAAUAAGUUACUUUAGGGAUAACAGCGUAAUUUUUUUGGAGAGUUCAUAUCGAUAAAAAAGAUUGCGACCUCGAUGUUGGAUUAAGAUAUAGUUUUAGGUGUAGCCGCUUAAAUUUUAAGUCUGUUCGACUUUUAAAUUCUUACGUGAUCUGAGUUCAGACCGGA